GACGUCUACGAGUUUGAUCAUGGCUCAGAACGAACGCUGGCGGCAUGCCUAACACAUGCAAGUCGAACGAGCUCUUCGGAGCUAGUGGCGCACGGGUGCGUAACGCGUGGGAAUCUACCCUUGGGUUCGGAAUAACACAGAGAAAUUUGUGCUAAUACCGGAUGAUGACUUCGGUCCAAAGAUUUAUCGCCCAGGGAUGAGCCCGCGUAGGAUUAGCUUGUUGGUGGGGUAAUGGCCCACCAAGGCGACGAUCCUUAGCUGGUCUGAGAGGAUGAUCAGCCACACUGGGACUGAGACACGGCCCAGACUCCUACGGGAGGCAGCAGUGGGGAAUAUUGGACAAUGGGCGAAAGCCUGAUCCAGCAAUGCCGCGUGAGUGAUGAAGGCCCUAGGGUUGUAAAGCUCUUUUACCAGGGAUGAUAAUGACAGUACCUGGAGAAUAAGCUCCGGCUAACUCCGUG
rnacentral:rRNA from 1 species